GCAAGUCGAACGAGAACGGUCCUUCGGGACCUAUUAAAGUGGCGAACGGGUGAGUAACGCGUGGAUAACGUGCCUUUUUGUGGGGGACAACCAAGGGAAACUUUGGCUAAUACCGCAUAAGCUCUUCGGAGGAAAGGUUGCCUCUCUACGAUGCAAUCGCAAAAAGAGCGGUCCGCGUCCCAUUAGCUUGUUGGUGGGGUAAUGGCCUACCAAGGCGACGAUGGGUAGCCGGCCUGAGAGGGCGAUC
rnacentral:rRNA from 1 species